rnacentral:rRNA from 1 species
UCCACAUGACUCUCGGCAACGGAUAUCUCGGCUCUCGCAUCGAUGAAGAACGUAGCAAAAUGCGAUACCUGGUGUGAAUUGCAGAAUCCCGUGAACCAUCGAGUUUUUGAACGCAAGUUGCGCCCGAGGCCUUCUGGCCGAGGGCACGUCUGCCUGGGCGUCAC